GGUUAAGCGACUAAGCGUACACGGUGGAUGCCCUGGCAGUCAGAGGCGAUGAAGGACGUGCUAAUCUGCGAUAAGCGCCGGUAAGGUGAUAUGAACCGUUAUAACCGGCGAUUUCCGAAUGGGGAAACCCAGUGUGACUCGUCACACUAUCAUUAACUGAAUCCAUAGGUUAAUGAGGCGAACCGGGGGAACUGAAACAUCUAAGUACCCCGAGGAAAAGAAAUCAACCGAGAUUCCCCCAGUAGCGGCGAGCGAACGGGGAGGAGCCCAGAGCCUGAAUCAGCAUGUGUGUUAGUGGAAGCGUCUGGAAAGGCGCGCGAUACAGGGUGACAGCCCCGUACACAAAAGCGCAUGUGCUGUGAGCUCGAUGAGUAGGGCGGGACACGUGGUAUCCUGUCUGAAUAUGGGGGGACCAUCCUCCAAGGCUAAAUACUCCUGACUGACCGAUAGUGAACCAGUACCGUGAGGGAAAGGCGAAAAGAACCCCGGCGAGGGGAGUGAAAAAGAACCUGAAACCGUGUACGUACAAGCAGUGGGAGCCCCACCACUAAGCCAGUGGUGAACUCCACAUACGCAUCCUUUGCUGAGGAUACGGUUAACGGAGCGAAAGCGACGUUCAACCUCAAAAGAAGCAGAGGGGGCUUAGUGGUGGGGUGACUGCGUACC
rnacentral:rRNA from 1 species